rnacentral:rRNA from 1 species
UACGAAGGGGGCUAGCGUUGUUCGGAAUUACUGGGCGUAAAGGGCGCGUAGGCGGUGUGUCAAGUCAGGCGUGAAAGCCCCGGGCUCAACCUGGGAACCGCGCCUGAGACUGGCACGCUCGAGUUCGGGAGAGGAUGGUGGAAUUCCCAGUGUAGAGGUGAAAUUCGUAGAUAUUGGGAAGAACACCGAUGGCGAAGGCAGCCAUCUGGACCGACACUGACGCUGAGGCGCGAAAGCGUGGGGAGCAAACAGG